UGACAGGACUCCGGAUGUUUUCUCAGGUUUGGUUUCAGACGGACAAGGCAGCAUAUCUCCUGAGGCAGUACUCCUACAGCAAUCUGCAUGAUAGACUUAGUACACGCCCUUUCCUCAGUCAAAUUGAGAAGAAGUGGCUUGCUUUUCAGUUAAUCCAUGCUGUGGAGCAGAGCCAUAGUAAGGGAGUUUGCCAUGGUGACAUAAAGUGUGAGAAUGUACUGGUUACCUCAUGGAACUAGCUAUACCUCACGGACUUUGCGUCUUUUAAACCAACUUACAUCCCGGAUGAUGAUCCAUCUGAUUUUUCGUUCUUCUUCGACACUGGAGGAAGGCGAAGAUGCUAUCUCACACCUGAAAGAUUCCACGAACAUGGUGCUGAGUCCCAAGUUUCAUCAGAUGCACCUCUGAAACCAUCUAUGGACAUAUUCUCUCUCGGGUAUGCAGUGUUGUAUCGUUGAAGAUCUUUCUUAACUUGGUCGGGAGUUGUGUUCUUCCAUUGGGAUAUGUGUGCUUUCCAUUUUGCAUGUUAAUGACAGAUUACUGAUCACUAUCGUUUGCUUGAACAUGUUAAUUUGAUCAUAUGUGAUGU